UACGAAGGGGGCUAGCGUUGUUCGGAAUUACUGGGCGUAAAGCGCGCGCAGGCGGUUCUUCAAGUCAGAGGUGAAAGCCCAGAGCUCAACUCUGGAAUGGCCUUUGAGACUAGAGAACUAGGGUACGGGAGAGGUGAGUGGAAUUCCGAGUGUAGAGGUGAAAUUCGUAGAUAUUCGCAAGAACACCAGUGGCGAAGGCGACUUACUGGACACAUAUUGACGCUGAGGUGCGAAAGCGUGGGGAGCAAACAGG
rnacentral:rRNA from 1 species